UGUUGAAAAAUUCAUCCAUUUCUACUGUUAAAAAUUGGCAUGGGGGACAGAAUAACCAAACAGUGACAAAUGGCGUGCCACGUGUACUUCAUGCUGACUUGAAGUAACCAGUUUUUAACAAUAGAAAUAAAUGAAAUUUUUAACA
rfam:Gossypium hirsutum cultivar TM-1 chromosome 24, whole genome shotgun sequence